GUAGGUGGCAAGCGUUGUCCGGAAUUAUUGGGCGUAAAGCGCGCGCAGGCGGUCCUUUAAGUCUGAUGUGAAAGCCCACGGCUCAACCGUGGAGGGUCAUUGGAAACUGGGGGACUUGAGUACAGAAGAGGAAAGCGGAAUUCCAAGUGUAGCGGUGAAAUGCGUAGAGAUUUGGAGGAACGCCAGUGGCGAAGGCGGCUUUCUGGUCUGUAACUGACGCUGAGGCGCGAAAGCGUGGGGAGCAAACAGGAUUAGAUACCCUGGUAGUCCACGCCGUAAACGAUGAGUGCUAAGUGUUAGGGGGUUUCCCGCCCCCCUUAGUGCUGCAGCUAACGCAUUAAGCACUCCGCCUGGGGAGUACGGCCCGCAAGGCUG
rnacentral:rRNA from 1 species